rnacentral:lncRNA from 10 species
CAGUCACUAAUGCGUGUCUCUCCAAGGUCUAAACAAUGGAAGACUGUAGAAGAUGUUAUUCAUUAAGAUAUCUCAAGAAUGUGGAAGACUAUUAUUCGCUUCUAAAGGGACAGGACUUCAUAGGGCACCUGAAGAAACUCCCAUGAAAAAUCACUUUUACAAAAUGUCAAGUUAUGAUAUCCAAGAUGAAACCAAUGAGUCACAACAUUCACAUAAUACACUGUACAACCCUGAUCUCUUGACUGUCAUCAAAUGUUUCUUACCUCUAAACCAAAGUUUCAUUUUAUAAUUUAAUUUUUCUCAUUUUUUCUGUUCUCUUAGCUUAAGAAAAGAUCAUUACAGACUUUUUGUAAGUUUUUCAUAUAUGCUUGCAAAGGGUUGUAAAACUUUAUUGUGAUUAUUCUUGCUUUAAGCUGAAACUUCCCUAAUCUUUCUUUAGAGAUUGUGGCAUAGCAUGUUAGUUUCUUUUCCAUAUCCAAUUGUUUUCUGUAAUGAAUACAGAAAUAUGGGCACUAUUUUGUAACUUUAAAUAGACAUCAUCUCAAGUCUACAAGAAUUAUCCAAAAUGGUAUUUAAUGACAUUUCUAGGUCUUCAGACACUAUUAAUGCAGAUUGUAGCCUCUAGGUCCUGAAGAUUUUACUAGAUACUGGUUACUGAAACUGAGCUUUCUUGAAUUAUUUUUCCUUCCACUGUGGUUUCCCGCAUUUCAACACAUCACCUAUUUUUGUCCUCAAACAUUACUUAAAUUUUUUCCACAGAAUUAAAUUAAAUAUGAAUCAUCCCUCCUCUGAUUUUUGAAAUGACCCUUUGCUUCCUAUGAUAAUGAUUCUUCUGGUCCAUUUUGUAGUUAUAUGUUAGAGUUUGUAAAUAGUCACACAUUUUGCAACUGCAUAUAAUUUUCUUAUUAUUUUUUCCUCUUCCUCUAAACCUGCUGUUAUUUCUUUUAACUUUUUGUGGGAAAAAUUAAACCCAUCUUUCACUUUGUUGAUAUACUUAUUUAUAAUUGAACUCCUUGAUUUUUGCUCAAAUUGCUUUUCAAGUUACCCACUUUUAGGGAAGACAUUAUUUGGGUUUUGUUUAGUGUAUCAGGCUUUUUUUAGUUAGUUGUAUCAAGAAGUGUAGACUUUUCUAUACAUAAUAUCCUUUUUCCCACAGUAGUUUUUUUUUUUUUUUUUUUUUUUUUUAAAGUCUGGCCGGGUGCAGUGGCUCACGCCUGUAAUCCCAGACUGUGGGAGGCCGAGGCGGGCAGAUCACGAAGUCAAGAGACGGAGACCAUCCUGCCUAACACGUUGAAACCCCGUCUCUACUAAAAAUACAAAAAAUUAGCUGGACAUGGUAACGGGUGCCUGUAGUCCCAGCUAAUCAGGAGGCUGAGGCAGGAGAAUGGCAUGAACCCAGGAGGCAGAGGUUGCAGUGAGCCGAGAUCGUGCCACUGCACUCCAGCCUGGGUGACAGAGCAAGACUCCAUCUCAAAAAGAAAAAAAAAGUCUGUUAAAAUAAAGGUCAUCAAAAGAUCUUUUCCUAAACCUUUCCUUUACCAGAAAUAUCUCUAGAGUCACAUGGUCCUUUCUCCCUUCUUGCUUUUGUAGGAGUCCAAAGCUAAUCUGUCCCUGAUCCAGAUUGCAGGCACCUGUGCCUUUUGGGGCCCUUCUGCAUUAGUUCUUCCUUCUCUUCUAACCUCAAAAAUGUGUUUUCUCUGUUGGCUCUUUCCCUUUAACAUAGAAGUAUACUCACGCUUUUGUUGAAUCUUGGAAUAAAAGUCUUCCUUUACCACAUAUCUCCCUUUAAUACUACAUCUCUCUUCUCAGCCAAAUACUUGGGAAGAGAAGCCCUGAGUUUGUGUCAUUGUUUUCUCACCUCCAGUUCACUACUUUACCCACUGCCUGACAUCCAGCUCGCUCACACACACACACACAAGCCCAAUCACUAAGUUGCCAUAGCUAAUUUGUGGCUUUCCUGCCCUCCUGGCAAAAUUUGACUCUGCAUUGGGAUAAUACAUGUUGAGUACCUAUUGAACAGGCACUGUGCUAGGUGCUGCUGUUAUAGAUAUGAAAAGAAGGCAUCAUCUCCUUUCUAACAACUCACAGGAGCAGCCAUUCCUGAUUCAUAUGCAGGUCUCUUGAGUCUCAGUGCUCACUUUUGCAAGCUUCACUUAAUGCCGUGCAAAUCACCCUAUUCUCCAGGUCUUCUUUCUUCCCAGUUCUCCUUACUAUACACAGCUUCUCAGGGCAGUCACCUCCACACCCAUGGCUUCAAUUGCUUUCUCCAUUCUCUGAGAACAACAGAAUUUUAAAUGGCUUUUUUUUUUCAUGUAUUAGCUUUAUUUUAUACAAGGUGCCUCAAUUGCUGUAACCAUAGAUUCAAAGUUGCUCCAUGAAACUAAUAAAUGAAAAAUGGUGAUUUUUUAGCAUGUAAAUUUUAGGAAAUUUCCCCAGUUACGCUUAAUGGCUUGAUUUAGUAUGUAUGUUAUUUUUGAAAACAUAUGUUGGGAUGUCACAAAUGGACUUAGCCUACAGAGAUUUAUAUUCAACUUUUGACCAGAGAGUUCCAUUUUAAUGUGACACUGAGAGUAAAAAACUGUCUUUUCCUCCUUACCUAUUUCUCUUCCUACAUUCUUGGCCAGGAGGAAGGCACUGCUACAUACCCAGUCUUCCCCAGCAGAGCCUGAGCAGCUCUGUUUUCCUUCUACUUCCCCUCUUCUUUCACAUCUCAUGACCAAGCACUUCCUAUUCUGUCUCCCAAAUGAUCACAGACUUUUUCCUCCGCUUUUGUCACUGCCACUGCCCUUAGCAUUACUCUGCCUUUAGAGAAAGUCUCUUAAUUUGUUUGGUUGCUUCCUUCAGUCCUUAUUAUACAGACCACUACACACACAUCUGACAGAGACUUUUCACCUUUUCAUGGUUCAAUGACUGAAAUUCCCAGAAUAAAAUUAAAACCACCCCAGCAUCAAAUUUGAGGUCAAAUAGAGGUGGGUUUGUAUCCCAGGUUCAUAUACUGUCCAGCAGUAUGGUCUCAGAAAACUGACCUCCUUAAGGCUUUGUUUGUGUAUCUGCCUACACUCAUUGAGAGUUGGGACUAUUUCACACAUACAGUGCCUGGCAUGUAGAAGGGACUUAAUCAAUGUUGAAAGAAGGGGAGGCAUUUUAAAAUCCAC